GUGGGGAAUAUUGGACAAUGGGGGGAACCCUGAUCCAGCCAUGCCGCGUGUGUGAAGAAGGCCUUUUGGUUGUAAAGCACUUUAAGCGAGGAGGAGGCUACCGAGAUUAAUACUCUUGGAUAGUGGACGUUACUCGCAGAAUAAGCACCGGCUAACUCUGUGCCAGCAGCCGCGGUAAUUCAGAGGGUGCAAGCGUUAAUCGGAUUUACUGGGCGUAAAGCGCGCGUAGGUGGCCAAUUAAGUCAAAUGUGAAAUCCCCGAGCUUAACUUGGGAAUUGCAUUCGAUACUGGUUGGCUAGAGUAUGGGAGAGGAUGGUAGAAUUCCAGGUGUAGCGGUGAAAUGCGUAGAGAUCUGGAGGAAUACCGAUGGCGAAGGCAGCCAUCUGGCCUAAUACUGACACUGAGGUGCGAAAGCAUGGGGAGCAAACAGGAUUAGAAACCCUUGUAGUCC
rnacentral:rRNA from 1 species